CCUACGGGUGGCAGCAGUAGGGAAUCUUCCACAAUGGGCGAAAGCCUGAUGGAGCAAUGCCGCGUGGGUGAAGAAGGUCUUCGGAUCGUAAAACCCUGUUGGUAGAGAAGAAAGUGCGUGAGAGUAACUGUUCACGUUUCGACGGUAUCUAACCAGAAAGCCACGGCUAACUACGUGCCAGCAGCCGCGGUAAUACGUAGGUGGCAAGCGUUAUCCGGAGUUAUUGGGCGUAAAGGGAACGCAGGCGGUCUUUUAAGUCUGAUGUGAAAGCCUUGGGCUCAACCGGGGUACUGCAUUGGAUACUGGCAGACUUGAGUGUCGAAGAGGGGAGUGGAACUCCAGGUGUAGCGGUGAAAUGCGUAGAUAUCUGGAAGAACACCAGUGGCGAAGGCGGCUCCCUGGUCUGUGACUGACGCUGAGGUUCGAAAGCGUGGGUAGCAAACAGGAUUAGAUACCCGGGUAGUC
rnacentral:rRNA from 1 species